rnacentral:lncRNA from 1 species
ACAAAUUGAGGAAAACACUUAGCAGACAUAGAGGCAAUCUAUGCAACAACAACAACAACAACAACUACCCAGUAUAGUCCCACAAAGUGGGGUCUGGGGAGAAAGACAUAAUCGAUUAUUUUGCUGUUUUGAAAAUUUCGGUUUUUGUAAAUUCCGAUUUACACUGUCUUAACAUAAUCGAUUAUUAGAAAAAUAUAAUCGAUUAUUUAUGUCCAGAUUCGAAAGACAUGUUUAAAAAUUAUUUUGGCUGAAAUGACACAACAACAACAACAACAACUACCCAGUAUACUCCCACCAGGUGGGGUCUGGGGAAGGUAAUAUGUAGACAUCCUUACCCCUACCCAAAAGGGCAGAGAGGCUGUUUCCAAUCGACCCUCGGCUCAGUGAAGGAAAGGAAAAACAAAAACAAAAACAAAAGAGCAUUAGUAACUCUGGCAGAAAUAGCAUAAAUAAUCAUCUAGAUAUAAGAACCAUAAAUAAAAUAGCAUGCAAUAAUAACUACCAUAAGGGAGGCACAAUCCAAUACACAAAUCAUCUAUGGAUAGCC